rnacentral:rRNA from 1 species
UAGCGUAUAUUAAAGUUGUUGCAGUUAGAACGCUCGUAGUCGGAUUUCGGGGCGGGCUGACCGGUCUGCCGAUGGGUACGUACUGGUCAGCGCGUCCUUCCUCCUGGAGACCGUGCCUACUCUUAACUGAGCGGGGGCGGGAGACAGGACUUUUACUUUGAAAAAAUCAGAGUGUUUCAAGCAGGCAGCUCGCUCUUGCAUGGAUUAGCAUGGGAUAAUGAAAUAGGACUUUGGUGCUAUUUUGUUGGUUUCGAACACCGAAGUAAUGAUGAGAAGGGACAGUCAGGGGCACUCGUAUUCCGCCGAGAGAGGUGAAAUUCUCAGACCAGCGGAAGACGAACCACUGCGAAAGCAUUUG